CACUUCGCCUCAAUUGAAGCUGUUAUUCAACCCUUAGAUACAACCACUUGCCUCCUAAUUACCUGCUAUGAAAGAAAUUACAUAUUGUGAGCUACUAGCAAAGGAACAACUUCAACACUGCAUCAAAUGGCUCGACCAAAGUUAUCAGUGGAGCAAUAUUCACCUGGUUUCCCCAAAACAAAACAGCACAUCCCAAAGAAUGGUGAACUCCAGUUGAAAAGACAUGCGAUUCUGAAAUAACCAUGGUCAUUUCAGACAUCUUGCGGGAGAAUUAAAAGGGGCAAGAACAUUCAGUGAUUUAGAUACAUUUUACCAUCAGGAGCAUUCACUGCAUUGCACAGUAUGUAACUGAAUAGUUGGAGAGAAACUGGACUCUGUGUAACUAUACUAGACAUGACAAGUACAGAACUACUAGCUAGUAAUGGACAAGGAAUUUUACUCACGUGAGCAGUUCAAACCGAAUCCAAGUAAGUUUUCCUCAAGUGUAUCCAACCAGCCCUUCAAAUGCUGCACCUAGACCACAAGGCCAUCCAAAACUGCACCACUCCGACAAUUCUGGGAGUUAUAUUACAGUCAGAUCUCAAAUGGAAUUUCCAAGUGUUUGAUAUGAUAUCAAGUGCCGGCAAGCGACUAUACAUUUACGACAUCUCAGAGUAUCAUGUGAAGAUCUAGCAGACAUCUUCUCGACAUAUAUCCGAUCUUCGCUAGAAUACGCUUCUCCAGUUUGGUCCACAUCAAUUUCCCGAACAGUUAUCUUG